rnacentral:rRNA from 1 species
CCUCUUGCAAAAUUCACGAAUAAGAGGUCCCGCCUGCCCUGUGACUAUAUGUUUAACGGCCGCGGUAUUUUGACCGUGCGAAGGUAGCGCAAUCACUUGUCUUUUAAAUGAAGACCUGUAUGAAUGGCAUCACGAGGGCUUAACUGUCUCCCUCUCCCAGUCAAUGAAAUUGAUCUCCCCGUGCAGAAGCGGGGAUAAAAACAUAAGACGAGAAGACCCUAUGGAGCUUAAGGCGCCAGAGCAGCUCACGUUAAACACCCUCAUACAAGAAGAAUAAACUUAGUGAACCCUGCUCCAGUGUCUUUGGUUGGGGCGACCACGGGGAAGAAUUCAACCCCCAUGUGGAACAGGGACACUAUGUUCCUCAAUUCCAGAGCUCCCGCUCUAAUAAACAGAACUUCUGACCAACGAGAUCCGGCAAAGCGAAUCAACGGACCGAGUUACCCUAGGGAUAACAGCGCAAUCCUCUUAAAGAGCCCUUAUCGACAAGGGGGUUUACGACCUCGAUGUUGGAUCAGGACAUCCUAAUGGUGCAGCCGCUAUUAAGGGUUCGUUUGUUCAACGAUUAAAGUCCU